rnacentral:rRNA from 1 species
AUACGUAGGGGGCGAGCGUUGUCCGGAAUGAUUGGGCGUAAAGGGCGCGUAGGCGGCCCGGUAAGUCUGGAGUGAAAGUCCUGCUUUUAAGGUGGGAAUUGCUUUGGAUACUGUCGGGCUUGAGUGCAGGAGAGGUAAGUGGAAUUCCCAGUGUAGCGGUGAAAUGCGUAGAGAUUGGGAGGAACACCAGUGGCGAAGGCGACUUACUUGACUGUAACUGACGCUGAGGCGCGAAAGUGUGGGGAGCAAACAGGAUUAGAUACCCUGGUAGUCCACACUGUAAACGAUGAAUGCUAGGUGUAGGGGGUAUCGACCCCUUCUGUGCCGCUGUUAACACAAUAAGCAUUCCGCCUGGGGAGUACGGCCGCAAGGUUGAAACUCAAAUGAAUUGACGGGG